rnacentral:ncRNA from 1 species
CCAAGCCCUUGCCUACAUUCGAAGCUGCCCGUGACCCCAGUACCAAGUCCCUUUGACGGCAACGGCACACUGGGAGGCGUAAGUUGAGUUUGUAGGCCUGGUCUUGGCUCGACCAAGUCCCAGUGGGAUUUUGUCCCUUGUAGUUCUCGUGCCAAGCGUUUGUGGCAGCUAGAGGUGUCAGGAAAGUUACCACAGGGAUAACUGGCUUGUGGCAGCCAAGCGUUCAUAGCGACGUUGCUU